AAAAAAUGCUCUACAGGAAUGUACUACUGUUUUUAUUUAGUUUGUCAUGUGUUUGUUGUGUUACAAAUAAUAAGCUACUUCUAAAUUCCGUUAGGCAUCCCUGUGUUGCAUAAUGACAAUAAAUGUUCCUUUAACCAUUGAUGUCUGGAUACACCAAUCGAAAUAGAAUCAUUUGCAAAUAAAGUGCAGACAGUCUGUCUUAAAUAUGUUAUUUGAGAAGGUGAUGGGAUUGCCUGCAGUCUGAGCCUAUGUUGCUCUGUCCUCUCUCUGUACAGCUGUGGGUCAGUGGAGUGUCUGGUUCUGCUGCUAAAGAGAGGAGCCAACCCAAACUACCAGGACAUCUCAGGCUGCACCCCUCUGCACCUGGCUGCUAGGAACGGACAGAAGAAGUGUAUGGGCAAACUGCUGGAAUAUAAUGCUGAUGUCAACAUCUGCAACAAUGAGGGACUGACUGCUAUCCACUGGUUGGCAGUGAAUGGGAGGACGGAGCUCCUCCAUGAUCUGGUCCAGCAUGUGUCCAACGUGGAUGUGGAGGACGCCAUGGGGCAGACGGCUCUACAUGUAGCCUGUCAGAACGGACACAAAACUACGGUGUUGUGUCUUCUGGACAGUGGAGCUGACAUCAACCGGCCCAACGUCUCUGGAGCCACGCCUCUUUACUUCGCCUGCAGCCAUGGCCAAAGAGACACAGCACUGAUCCUGCUCUCUCGAGGUGCCAAAUACCUCGCUGACAACAAUGGAAUCACUCCUCUGGAUCUCUGUGUGCAGGGUGGAUAUGGGGAGACCUGCGAGAUCCUCAUCCAGCACCACGGCAGACUUUUCCAGACUCUCAUCCAGAUGACACAAAAUGAUGAAAUGAAAGAGAACAUGCUCAGGCAGGUUAUGGAGCAUGUCUCUCAGCAGAGUGACAGUCAUUACCAGAGGAUCUUGACCAGUCUUGCUGAAGUGGCUACCACUAAUGGACACAAGCUUCUCAGCCUAUCCAGCAGUUAUGAAGCUCAAAUGAAGAGUCUGCUGAGAAUCGUUCGUAUUUUCUGCCAUGUAUUCCGCCUGGGCCCUUCAUCACCCAACAAUGGCAAUGACAUGGGCUACAAUGGCAACAAGACGCCUCGCAGCCAGGUCUUUAAGAUGUGUGCGAGACAGAUGGAGGUGGAGACGGUACAAAAAGAUGAAUGUUCCUGGACAGGUUCUGCUGUCUUUGAUCCAUUGGAGCUGCUGUGGCACUCCCUGGAUGAGUGGCUGGUGCUCAUCUCCACAGAGCUGGAGAGGAACAGGAAGAACCCGUCUUCCUCCUCCUCCAGCAGUGAGAUAGCCUCUCUGCUUCUCAAACAACGGGAGGUCGACCACUCUGGCUCCAAGCCAAAGCUGCCCUCCUUGCUGGACCGUGAAGCCGUCAUGGAAACAGAGGUGUACGCCGAUGGGGAGGACGUCAUCUCCAUGACAGCCAGUCGGCUCAGUGCUGUGAUUCAGGCCUUCUAUAUGUGCUGCUCCUGUCAGAUGCCACAAGGAAUGACAUCCCCUCGCUUUAUUGAGUUUGUCUGCAAGCAUGAUGAGGUGCUCAAGUGUUUUGUAACCAGGAAUCCAAAGAUCAUCUUUAACCACUUCCAUUUCCUGCUUGAGUGUCCAGAGUUGAUGUCACGCUUCAUGCACAUUAUCAAGGCUCAGCCCUUCAAGGAACGCUGUGAGUGGUUCUAUGAACAUCUGCUGGCCGGCCAGCCAGAUUCAGACAUGGUGCAUCGUCCGGUCAACGAGAACGACAUCCUGCUCAUCCACAGAGAUACCAUAUUCAGGAGUAGCUGCGAGAUGGUUUCCAAGUCCAGCAAUGAGAAACUCAAACAGGGCAUUGCUGUUCGCUUCCAUGGAGAGGAGGGGAUGGGCCAGGGUGUGGUUCGGGAGUGGUUUGACAUCCUGUCCAAUGAGAUCAUCAACCCAGACUAUGCUCUGUUCACUCAGUCAGCUGAUGGUACGACUUUUCAGCCCAACAGUAACUCCUCUGUGAACCCAGACCAUCUGAACUACUUCCAGUUUGCAGGUCACAUCCUGGGUCUGGCUCUGUACCACCGACAGCUGGUCAACAUCUACUUCACCCGCUCCUUCUACAAACACAUUCUGGGUAUCCCGGUGAACUACCAGGACGUGUCGUCCAUUGAUCCAGAGUAUGGGAAGAACCUGCAGUGGAUCCUGGACAACGACAUCAGUGAUCUGGGCCUGGAGCUCACCUUCUCUGUAGAGACGGACGUGUUCGGGGCGAUGGAGGAAGUGCCGCUCAAACCCGGAGGGACCAACAUCCUGGUCACCCAGGACAACAAGGCCGAGUACGUCCAGCUGGUUACAGAGCUGAGGAUGACGCGAGCCAUCCAGCCUCAGAUAAACGGCUUCCUGCAAGGAUUCCACACCUUCAUCCUCCCCUCGCUCGUCCAGCUUUUUGAUGAAUACGAAUUGGAGCUCCUGUUGUCAGGGAUGCCAGAGAUCGAUGUGCAGGAUUGGUGCAGGAACACUGAGUACACCAGUGGCUACGACACUCAGGAGCCAGUCAUCCAGGUGGGACUGACUCCUCCAUAACUACACAUGUAUGCCUCACUUGAAUCAUAUGGGUGCCGAUGAUAUUUACCAGUUCGGUUAUUCAAACCGUAGGUGCAGAUUGUUACUUAUUGCAUUUAUGGAUUCUUUAAAAAUAUUUCAAGGAAAGGAACAUUUACCAAGCCAUAAACUCUUUAAAUGUGGGACCAGAAAGAAGAGUGAUCAGAAUUGCUUAUGCCAAAAGGGAUGCAAUAUGUAUGUCUCCUCUGCAGAUAAUGGAAUCAAUCUUUACCACUGUAUGUGACAUUAGCAUGGCAGAGUUUGCACACAGCUUUUAUAGAUCAAGCUUCGCAUAUUUAAAGAUCACCUAUUAUGCAAAAUGCACUUUUUCACGCAUUUUAAACAUAAAUGUGUGCCCCUGGUGUCACAAAAGAACAGCCUUUCUCUUUUUCCCCUGCUCCAUCUUAAAAAAACCUGUGAAAAAAAGGGUCAUGAAUUGUGGACAUUUGGUGCCGUAUGUCAUAAGGGUUCCCCGAUGGAACAGUAGAACCAUCCUCAGCUUGACAGGGUCAGUAACGUUACACAGCAGGAUUCACCUCAAACUGAAGCUCUGGUGGGAUCUGGACGGCUGUCUGAGACUCGACUUCAAAACUGGAGCUUGACCUGAUGCUCGAUCCUAAAGCUCCUGUCUGAUGAGGUGUUCCUGAACCCAGCAGACUCUUCACAGUAUGAGAACCCAUCAGAGGAGAAGACGAGUCAGGAUGACCUCUGACCUGAGAGCUCCAUCAGCAUCCGACACAACUUUAGUCACAAGACAAGAAACCCUUUACUGAUGGAGCACAUGAUCUGGACAGUUUACAUACAAAUUAUGGCUUUGUUACUUUUUGCAUUGUGUACUCAAUUUUAAUGUCAGUCUGUGAAUAAAGGGCUUUAUUUUGAAGGAGUGAUUUGUCCUUUUUAAAUCCAGGUAGUAAAUACUGACUAAGCAACACAACACACCUAUUUCGUCAUAGAUGACAAAAUAUUUUGACAAUAAUAAAAGGGUGUACGGUGUACUGGUUCGUCUUUACUGUGAUGAACGCACACAUGGGAGAGACAUCACUGAUGCACGCACACAUACGAGGACAUGGGAGAGACAUCACUGAACCACACGGCUUAGACUGGCUACGGUCGCCCACAAGUAUAAGUUUGUCAGUUUUUGGUUUCUUCAAAAUGUAAAUUAAUUUAAGUGUAAUUGAAUUCCCAUUUUGUUACUGCCAACUGAAUGAAUCACAUUACACUUACAUUAUGGGAUGGGCUAUUUCUCUCAAAACAGAUGUGUUCUGUAUAUGAAUGAAAAUGAGCUAUACUAUGGAUCUUCACUUUUUUACAUUUUCUUCUCUCUUCAUAUAUGUUCCCUUACAUUGCCAAGAAAGUGAAAGUUGAUAGAAUCUUGUUUUGAGUGGAAUAUGCCUUUAAAAAAACGAAAAACACCAGAUAUAGAUUUUCGGUCAUAUUGCCCCUAGUUUCAGACACAAUCGACAUUUCAUAGCAUGAAUAUGGCAUUAACUGUGUGACAAGUGAAAACGUUUCUAGAAGAUCAGUAAUUCAGCUGUGUAGACGUGCUGCCUAACUGUCACUGACAUCGUGUGUAGUCAUGGUAGCAUGGCACCAGCUUGUACAGUAAUCAACAGUCGUCUCUUUACCAGAAAUAAUCACCUGACUACUUUUUCACAUCUAUUUCCCACCACCACACUGAUAGCCACUGUGUUUGCUAACAUGUUAGCUCUGCAGCUCACAUUGAUGUAUAAAGAUAAAAUAAACAGCAUUAUUUACUGGAAAAAAGGGUCAAAAGAAAUCUGUAAUCUUGGUGGCGGAUGACAUUCCUGCUGGAACGUGUGCUGUGUUUAGUUUUAAUUCAUGGUAAAAGUGUUCCUAAACCUCCAUGUGGACACAGCUGAGGGAUGCUGUUAACAGGUGAUCUCCACACAAAUGCAUCUGUGGUUGUUGUUACGACCGCUGAGAAUAUGUCGCUCUCCUCGUGUAUGUCUUUGUUUCCUUUAUCAUUACAAUAUCAAAUCAUAUCUGAUUUGUGUUACGUUUUGAAUGGCGGUUGUUGAUGUAGAAAACAGCCUUUAACUUUUGAACGUAAAAGAAUGGAAUACAUAAGGGUUUGAACUCCUAACACUCACAUACAGCAGCCAUGUCUUAGAAACAGGAGGCAGCCAGGUGAAGGUGUGACCACACUGUGUAGACCUGAAGACCAUGCUGUCGUCUCUGUGUUCUUUAUGGAGGACCAAACAUGUCUUAAGUAUAAAUAAAUAAAUGAAUACAGAAAUAUUGAAAUGCUGAAAUGAAUAAAUACAACUUGAUACCUAAAC